ensembl:snoRNA
AUCCCUUUUUAGUUCAUGCGCAUGACCAUUGGGUGUUUACGUGCAGGUGAGCUAUGCCACCUUCUGAACCUUGUUAUGACAUUGGCAUGUUACCCAUCUAACC